rnacentral:rRNA from 1 species
CCUACGGUGGGCAGCAGUGGGGAAUAUUGCACAAUGGGGGAAACCCUGAUGCAGCGACGCCGCGUGGGUGAGGAAGUAUUUCGGUUUGUAAACCUCUAUCAGUAGGGAAGAAAAUGACGGUACCUGACUAAGAAGCCCCGGCUAACUACGUGCCAGCAGCCGCGGUAAUACGUAGGGGGCAAGCGUUAUCCGGACUUACUGGGUGUAAAGGGAGCGUAGACGGGUAAGCAAGUCAGACGUGAAAUCCCAGGGCUUAACCUUGGAACUGCUUUUGAAACUGUGUAGCUAGAGUGAAGGAGAGGUAGGCGGAAUUCCUGGUGUAGCGGUGAAAUGCGUAGAUAUUAGGAGGAACACCAGUGGCGAAGGCGGCUUGCUGGACUGUAACUGACGCUGAGGCUCGAAAGCGUGGGGAGCAAACAGGAUUAGAUACCCUAGUAGUC